rnacentral:rRNA from 1 species
AACUGUGAGACAGGUGCUGCAUGGCUGUCGUCAGCUCGUGUUGUGAAAUGUUGGGUUAAGUCCCGCAACGAGCGCAACCCUUAUCCUUUGUUGCCAGCGGUCCGGCCGGGAACUCAAAGGAGACUGCCAGUGAUAAACUGGAGGAAGGUGGGGAUGACGUCAAGUCAUCAUGGCCCUUACGACCAGGGCUACACACGUGCUACAAUGGCGCAUACAAAGAGAAGCGACCUCGCGAGAGCAAGCGGACCUCAUAAAGUGCGUCGUAGUCCGGAUUGGAGUCUGCAACUCGACUCCAUGAAGUCGGAAUCGCUAGUAAUCGUGGAUCAGAAUGCCACGGUGAAUACGUUCCCGGGCCUUGUACACACCGCCCGUCACACCAUGGGAGUGGGUUGCAAAAGAAGUAGGUAGCUUAACCUUCGGGAGGGCGCUUACCACUUUGUGAUUCAUGACUGGGGUGAAGUCGUAACAAGGUAACCGUAGGGGAACCUGC